CAGUAGCCGCGGUAAUACGUAGGUCCCGAGCGUUGUCCGGAUUUAUUGGGCGUAAGGCGAGCGCAGGCGGUUAGAUAAGUCUGAAGUUAAAGGCUGUGGCUUAACCAUAGUACGCUUUGGAAACUGUUUAACUUGAGUGCAAGAGGGGAGAGUGGAAUUCCAUGUGUAGCGGUGAAAUGCGUAGAUAUAUGGAGGAACACCGGUGGCGAAAGCGGCUCUCUGGCUUGUAACUGACGCUGAGGCUCGAAAGCGUGGGGAGCAAACAGGAUUAGAUACCCCUGUAGUCCCUGUCUCUUAUACC
rnacentral:rRNA from 1 species